UUUAAGUAGAUCUUUGAAUGCUUUUGUGGAAGGUGAAUCAGUGAGAAAGAUGGUACUUAUGUUUGUUUGGUUUAAAAUAAAUUGCUGGUAAUAGCAAAGGAGUUCUAAGUUACAGAAAAAAAGUACCAUAAGUGUGUUACUGGACUUAUGAUGAAAUUUCAAGUAAAGGAUAGGAAUACCAUACUUCUUGCAGUACUGCCUGGAUUCAAGGGCAUGUUAUAUGUGGGCUUCUGACACUGUGCUGCUAUGAAACCUUCUUCAGAUGGGCCUUACUCAUAGACUGGGGUACACAAGAUGUGAUACAGCCCUUUUGUGAGGGGAAGCCUAACCUGAUUGUAUCUGACCAAAACAACAGCCAUUGUGAAUGUCUGCACCUGUUCAUGUCCAACGCUAAUUCUCUUUUCUGUUGUAAGGCUGGCAAUUCAGCAUCAUCCACUGAAGGAUCCACAAAUAAUAUCAAGUACUGGAGAGCCAAAGACUACUGCAGGUCCAGGGCAAUUCUGUUAUGUUUGAGAAGCAGACUAUCUUUGAGGAGAGCUUCAUCAACCUGAAGAAAGUGCCUACACCAGGAUUUCUCCUGCUAUAUUUUUAGAGAGCUUGGUGUUUCUCUAGUAAGGUGCUGCUUCAUGAAACAGAUGGAAAGGGGGGAGCAAAGGUUUGCAUUUCCUUGAACAGAGAAGUGGAUUAAUACCAGGUAUUUAACUACCCGCAGAGGUUCAAAGGAUUCCAAAGAACUGCAUGAAAGAUAUCCAAGGCAUGCAUCAUUUGUUCCUCUUGUUCCCUAAGGGAAGAUAUACUACUUGCAUCAGCUGUACCCUCCUUGGAACAGGGUGAAAGCCACUUAAUAAGUGGGAUUCAGCAGCUGAAGCACAGGUGUGUAGUGAGUGACAUUGCAGCUCCUGGUGUUCAAGAUAUCGAUGUCAGGAUGGCCAAAAUGACACAGGGCUGACAAGAAGACCAUAUCCUUCCUGUAAGGCAUGUAAAGCCGAGACAGAAUACACUCUAUAGUAUCUAAAAUGUUGCUUAGAUUCAUCUUAAAGAUAAUUUAGUAUAAAAACCUUUCUGCUCUCAUAUUUUUUCUGCAACUUCUCUAUUUUCAUAAGCUGUUCUGUGAAAAACAAACAGGGAAAAAAAAGCAAUAGAAAUUAAGGUUGAAAAUCAAAAUAAAUAAAAAAUUAAAGAGCAGUAAAAUGAAAGAAAGAACAAAACACCACACAAGCCAAUGGACUUUGGCCUCUCCAACCCCUACAAAAGGUGUUCAAGAUUCCAGAAAGUUAGGAAUUUGAAAAAAUAUUUCAGGGAAAGUAUUUCUUUUCUGCAAACCUGAAAUGUAUGCUAUUACAGACCUGUUUUUUUUCAGUUAAUAUGUUAAAUUGUUUUUUGUAAAGUCAAUGGAAGACUAUCAUUUUAUUAUUUUCUAGUAUCUGAAUAUAGUUUCUUGAUUCAGUAUUUCUGUUACUUUGCUCAGUUUCUACUGCUAUGCAAUAUUGAAUAGCUGCUCUCAGACCGUUUUAAUUUUAUUUAUUUUUUUUUAAUCCUGUGUGUGUUUGUUUCCCAACAUAUAUUUUAGAGAGAAUUUGUCUUGGACCAAAAACUUGCCUCUGAAAACUAUCAAGUCUUGUUAAAAAAGUUCUGAAUUCUCCUAAUCAGAAAGUAUGUCCUGUCCUAUAUACUUGUUGCUUAAUAUAAAGAAAAACAAAUGUAUCUGUUCAAACCAGUCAUUGUCUGAACCUGACAUUGUCUUGAUGAUAUUUUCAUACAUCAUUUUGUACCUUCAUACAUCUCCAUGCUUUCAAACAUUGUCUGUACUUUCCAAUGUAUUUUGUGUGUUCUGGCAAUUAAGGUUCAAGGUCAUUCUGAAAUUCUGCUCAGUAUAUCACAGAAUUUGUGUAGUGAAUACUUCCCUCUGAGUACUUAUAUGAAUUUAUUUUCAAAAUUGUCUUGUAAAGCCUAAUUCUGUAUUUAUAUAUAUGUAUA